ACAAAAUGUGGGUGUAUAGGGACUGAAAAAACUCAUAAAUUAUGUGUUUUCAUCAACUUCUUCUCUUGAAUAUCCACGAGAUUGGAGCCAAAUAAGAGCACUACAUUU